UACGUAGGGGGCAAGCGUUGUCCGGAAUCAUUGGGCGUAAAGAGCGUGUAGGCGGUCCGGUAAGUCGGCUGUGAAAGUCGAGGGCUCAACCCUCGAAUGCCGGCCGAAACUGCCGGGCUAGAGUCCGGAAGAGGCGAGUGGAAUUCCCGGUGUAGCGGUGAAAUGCGCAGAUAUCGGGAGGAACACCAAUGGCGAAAGCGACUUCCUGGACCAGUACCGACGUUCAGGCACGAAAGCGUGGGGAGCGAACAGG
rnacentral:rRNA from 1 species